rnacentral:lncRNA from 1 species
GUCACAGUUGACUCAGCAAGAAUGAAGACAUUGAUACCAUUUUGCAUUAUGGAAUACACAAGUUGGCAGUUCCUCGCCCACUGCCACCCAAAUACAGGUAUAAGAAAUCCUUAUCUGUACGUAACAGACGAUGGAGACGAAGUGAUUAUUAUGUGUGGCAAAAGAUUAUUUUAUGAA